rnacentral:rRNA from 1 species
GACGAACGCUGGCGGCGUGCUUAACACAUGCAAGUCGAACGGAAAGGCCUGCUUUCCCUUGUGGAUUGCGGGUACUCGAGUGGCGAACGGGUGAGUAACACGUGAGUGAUCUGCCCCCAACUUGGGUAUAAGCCUGGGAAACUGGGUCUAAUUCCCGAUAGGACUGCAGGGUGGUGCCUGUGGUGGAAAACGAUUUUCUAGUGGUUGAGGAUGAGCUCGCGGCCUAUCAGCUUGUUGGUGGGGUAAUGGCCUACCAAGGCGGCGACGGGUAGCCGGCCUGAGAGGGUGGACGGCCACAUUGGGACUGAGAUACGGCCCAGACUCCUACGGGAGGCAGCAGUGGGGAAUAUUGCACAAUGGGCGGAAGCCUGAUGCAGCGACGCCGCGUGGGGGAUGACGGCCUUCGGGUUGUAAACUCCUUUCGACCGCGAGGAAGCCACCUGGUUGGAAGGGUGGUGACGGUAGUGGUAGAAGAAGCACCGGCUAACUACGUG